rnacentral:rRNA from 1 species
CGAAGGGCGUAGCGUUGCUCGGAAUCACUGGGCGUAAAGGUGCGUAGGCGGGUCUUAAGUCAGGGUGGAAAUCCUGGAGCUCAACUCCAGAACUGCCUUUGAUACUGAAGAUCUUGAGUCCGGGAGAGGUGAGUGGAACUGCGAGUGUAGAGGUGAAAUUCGUAGAUAUUCGCAAGAACACCAGUGGCGAAGGCGGCUCACUGGCCCGGUACUGACGCUGAGGCACGAAAGCGUGGGAGCAAACAGGAUU